rnacentral:rRNA from 1 species
CAAUUCAGAACUGGCACGGCGGUUGGGGAAUCCGACUGUCUAAUUAAAACAAAGCAUUGUGAUGGCCCUAGCGGGUGUUGACACAAUGUGAUUUCUGCCCAGUGCUCUGAAUGUCAAAGUGAAGAAAUUCAAGUAAGCGCGGGUCAACGGCGGGAGUAACUAUGACUCUCUUAAGGUAGCCAAAUGCCUCGUCAUCUAAUUAGUGACGCGCAUGAAUGGAUUAACGAGAUUCCUAAUGACCCUAUCUACUAUCUAGCGAAACCACAGCCAAGGGAACGGGCUUGGAAUAUUUAGUGGGGAAAGAAGACCCUUUUGAGCUUGACUCUAAUCUGGCAGUGUAUGGAGACAUAAGAGAUGUAGAAUAAGUGGGAGAUGUUAGACCUCGGUUUGGUAUCGUCAAUGAAAUACCACUACUCUUAUUGUUUCCUUACUUACUUGAUUAAAUGGAACGUGUAUCAUUUCCUAGCCAUUAUACGGAUAUAUUUAUUAUAUCUUAUGGUAUUGGGUUUUGAUGCAAGCUUCUUGAUCAAAGUAUCACGAGUUUGUUAUAUAAUCGCAAACAAAUUAUUUAAUAAAACAAUGCAUUUAUGUAUUUUUGAUUUGAAAAUUUGGUAUAACUCCAAUUACUCAGGUAUGAUCCAAUUCAAGGACAUUGCCAGGUAGGGAGUUUGACUGGGGCGGUACAUCUCUCAAAUAAUAACGGAGGUGUCCCAAGGCCAGCUCAGUGCGGGCAGAAACCACACAUAGAGCAAAAGGGCAAAUGCUGACUUGAUCUCGGUGUUCAGUACACACAGGGACAGCAAAAGCUCGGCCUAUCGACCCUUUUGGUUUAAAGAGUUUUUAACAAGAGGUGUCAGAAAAGUUCCCAAAGGGAUAACUGGCUUGUGGCGGCCAAGCGUUUAUAGCGACGUCGCUUUUUGAUCCUUCGAUGUCGGCUCUUCCUAUCAUUGAGAAGCAAAAUUCACCAAGCGUUGGAUUGUUCACCCAUGCAAGGGAACGUGAGCUGGGUUUAGACCGUCUUGAGACAGGUUAGUUUUACCCUACUAAUGACAAAACGUUGUUGCGACAGCAUUCCUGCGUAGUACGAGAUACUUGUUCGAGUGAACAGUGGUAUGACGCUACGUUCGUUGGAUUAUGCCUGAACGCCUCUAAGGUCGUAUCCGUGCUGGACUGCAAUGAUAAAUAAGGGGCAAUUUCCAUUGUAUGGCUUCUAAGCCAUCACAAUGGAUGUGAUGCCAAUGUGAUUUGUAACAUAGUAAAUUAGGAGGAUCUUCGAUCACCUGAUGCCGCGCUAGUUACAUAUAUAAGCAUUAUUUAAUACAAUGACAAAGCCUAGAAUCAAUUCUAAACGACUUUUGUAACAGGCAAGGUGUUGUAAGUGGUUGAGCAGCUGCCAUACUGCGAUCCACUGAAGCUUAUCCUUUGCUUGAUGAUUCGAUAAAUAAAUGA